UGGUCAAGUUAUUAAGGGUGCAGGGCGGAAUCGUUGGCACUAGGAGCCGGUGAAAGACUUGAUAAGCUACGAUAAGCUUCGGGGUGUUGCACGUGAACUUUGAUGCGAAGACUUCCGAAUGAGGAAACUCACUUAGAGUAAUGUCUAAGUAGCAUUAAGUGAAUACAUACCUUAGUGAGGGGAACUCAGGGAACUGAAACAUCUAAGUACCUGAAGGAAGAGAAAGAAAUUCGAUUCCGUAAGUAGCGGCGAGCGAACGCGGAUUAGCCCAAACCAAUAAAGUUUUCUUUAUUGGGGUUGCGGACAUAUCAUAACGAAGAG
rnacentral:rRNA from 1 species